UAACACCGGCAGCUCUAGUGGUAGCUAAUUUUAUUGGGCCUAAAGCGUCCGUAGCCGGUUUAAUAAGUCUCUGGUGAAAUCCUGCAGCUUAACUGUGGGAAUUGCUGGAGAUACUAUUAGACUUGAGACCGGGAGAGGUUAGAGGUACUCCCAGGGUAGAGGUGAAAUUCUGUAAUCCUGGGAGGACCGCCUGUUGCGAAGGCGUCUAACUGGAACGGUUCUGACGGUGAGGGACGAAAGUUAGGGGCGCGAACCGGAUUAGAUACCCGGGUAGUCCUAACUGUAAACGAUGCGGACUUGGUGUUGGGUGGCUUUGAGCUGCUUCAGUGCCGAAGGGAAGCUGUUAAGUCCGCCGCCUGGGAAGUACGGUCGCAAGACUGAAACUUAAGGAAUUGGCGGGGGAGCACCACAACGCGUGGAGCCUGCCGGUUUAAUUGGAUUCAACGCCGGACAUCUCACCAGAGGCGACAGCUGUAUGAUAGCCAGGUUGAUGACUUUGCUUGACUAGCUGAGAAGAGGUGCAUGG
rnacentral:rRNA from 1 species